rnacentral:lncRNA from 1 species
CUGUACUAAAGGUCUGUAAGCUAAGCCAAAUCAUUUGACAGACCUGGACUAACUAGUGGCUACCUGAAGAGUUACAUUGGCUGCUCUAAGGAGGAGAACAUCUCCAGUGGGUGCUGUGCAGUGGGGAAAUGGGGAGCUGCUAUUCUCUAACCUAGUCCAGCUACUUCAUCCUGGUGUCAUGGAGUCAAAGAGAAGAAAUAUAUGGCAUGCACUCAACAGGGAGCCGGAUCCUGGGCUGGGUUUGCAAUACAACAGUGCGCUGCCACGUGCUGACCGGUGAGAUCGGCAGGAGAGGUGUUUGAGUGCAGGAAGCAGCCUAAAAAUGAUGCAUGAACCAGCAGUACAUCAGAUCGUUUAGGCUCUACCUUACUGUAGCCAGAAAUAGGAAAUAAAACUUGCAAUCUGACUGUUUUCA